rnacentral:tRNA from 1 species
GUCUCUGUUGUGCAAUGAAUAGCGCUUUGGACUUCUAAUCCAAAGGUCAUGGGUUCAAAUCCCACCUGAGAUG